rnacentral:rRNA from 1 species
AACGCGAAGAACCUUACCUGGGCUUGAACUACGGAUGGUACUUGACUGGAAACAGUUGGGGACCCGCAAGGGAGUCCGCAGAGGUGCUGCAUGGUUGUCGUCAGCUCGUGUCGUGAGAUGUUGGGUUAAGUCCCGCAACGAGCGCAACCCUUAUCGUUAGUUGCCAGCGGGUCAAGCCGGGCACUCUAGCGAAACCGCCUCGGAUAACGGGGAGGAAGGUGGGGAUGACGUCAAGUCCUCAUGGCCUUUAUGUCCAGGGCUACACACGUGCUACAAUGGUCGGUACAAACCGUCGCAAACUCGCGAGAGGGAGCUAAUCGGAAAAAGCCGACCUCAGUUCGGAUUGGAGUCUGCAACUCGACUCCAUGAAGCUGGAAUCGCUAGUAAUCGCAGAUCAGCACGCUGCGGUGAAUACGUUCCCGGGCCUUGUACACACCGACUGUAC